UACGAACACACUGAACGCGUGAAAGGCGCGAGCGGGCGUCAGAGCGAGCGAGAGUCAAAGAGUCAAAGCGUCAAAAUGUGAGGGUGUGUACUCGUACACUGAGUCCGGUGCGAGCGUCAAAUAGGCCGCUUCAUUGAUGGGAGAACUUUAGUUCGUUGUCAUCUUUCGAGGCGUGUGGUCUGUUUUGUUGUUCCUCCUAAUCAGUUCAUCCCAAAUUCAAAAUGAAUGUUAAAAGUAAUAGGAAGCGUGCAUUAUUGCUGUUAUUGAGUGAAACUAGUCCGGCUGUCCCAUCUUCAUCCAGCAUGUGGGUCCAUCCCAUCAAUAAGGAGCGCGAGACCCAUGGGGAAUAUCAUCAUUUGAUGCCACAACUGAGAAACGACCCCCCAAAAUUCAAAGAAUAUUUCAGGAUGUCAGCUGAAACCUUUGACUAUAUAUUGGAACUUAUUUCUCCAGUCAUCUACAAGCAAACAACCAACUUAAGAAAACCCGUAUCCCCAGAGGAAAGGCUUUCUGUGACAUUAAGAUUCCUGGCGACUGGGCUGUCGUUUAGAGGACUCGCCUUCACAUUCCGCAUGGGAGUGACAACUGUGCGAAUGAUCGUGCUAGAAACAUGCGACGCACUCUGGAAGAUAUUGCAAUCUACGCAUAUGCCGGUGCCGGAUGCUCAAAUUUGCAAACAUGCUGCAGAGGAAUAUUGGACGAAGUGGAAUUUCCCAAAUUGCUUCGGCUCAAUUGAUGGCAAGCACAUCCGUAUCCAGUGUCCCACCAAAUCCGGUUCCCAGUAUUAUAAUUACAAACAAUUUU